ACGGAAGGCAGCAGUGGGGAAUAUUGCACAAUGGGGGAAACCCUGAUGCAGCGACGCCGCGUGAGUGAAGAAGUAUUUCGGUAUGUAAAGCUCUAUCAGCAGGAAAGAAAAUGACGGUACCUGACUAAGAAGCCCCGGCUAACUACGUGCCAGCAGCCGCGGUAAUACGUAAGGGGCAAGCGUUAUCCGGAUUUACUGGGUGUAAAGGGAGCGUAGACGGCUUUGCAAGUCUGAAGUGAAAGCCCGGGGCUCAACCCCGGAACUGCUUUGGAAACUGUAGAGCUAGAGUGCAGGAGAGGUAAGUGGAAUUCCUAGUGUAGCGGUGAAAUGCGUAGAUAUUAGGAGGAACACCAGUGGCGAAGGCGGCUUACUGGACUGUAACUGACGUUGAGGCUCGAAGGCGUGGGGAGCAAACAGGAUUAGAUACCCUGGUA
rnacentral:rRNA from 1 species